UCUAUAUAUAUAUAUAUAUAUAUAUAUAUAUAUAUAUAGUAGGAGUUGAGCUAGAAUUCUAUCAGUAGCAAACAGGCGCUGCUGCCACCCAUUUGUUUUUUACGAUGGAGCCUCAAAAUCGAUGAUUGGUUCCGUUAAACUUGAUCUAGCAUAUUUGAAGUAUCUAGAAAAUAAAUUUUGUGAUUUUUCGAUAUCAUUUACCUAGCGAUCGAUCAAAAGGGUUCAAAAUCAACGGCUGAAAAUAAAAAUCUCGCAAAAAGUGGGGAUAUAGCAUUAAAAUUUUCGAUCAGAGAUAUUGAUCUUACUGUAAAUAGUAUAAAAAAUUUUCUAUUCAAAUUUCAUCUGAUUUGAAUACUUCUAUACUGUUAAACUUGCAAGCGCUAUACUUCAACCAUUAAAAAUUGUUGAUUUCAAACAUUUUUGAUCGGUAGGUAAAUGAUAUCGAAAAAUCAUAAAAUUUAUUUUCUAGAUAGUUCAAAUAUGUUAGAUCAAGUCUAACGGAGGUGCUUUUGCAAAUAUGCUAUUUUCAUAAAAUUUUUGAUCGGUAGGUGCUUUUGAGUUUUUAGCCAUUAGAUAGAGACAUGUGAGGUUGAGAUGAUGGUAGUAGGUGGUGAUAGGUGGUGGUAGGUGGAAUAGUGUUUGAUCCAAAGGCUAUUAGUAAUCAAGGAGUAGAUCCAAGGGCUAGAACUUAGAAGCACAAAAGNUAUAUAUAUAUAUAUAUAUAUAGAGAGAGAGAGAGAGAGAGAGAGAGAGAGAGAGUUGGUCUUGUGUGCUAUUAAGAGCACAGAGGUCUGCGUGCUCCUAAGCCAUUUUCGAUGAUGGAGCUUCCGAAUCGAUGAUCGGCUCCAUUAGACUUAAUCUAGCGUAUUUGAACAAUCUAGAAAAUAAUUUUUGUGAUUUUUCUGUAUCAUUUUCCUAGUAAUCGAAAGGGUUCAAAAUCAACAAUUUUUAAUGGUCGAUGUAUACCGUUUGCAAGUUUAACGGUGUAGAAAUGUUCAAAUCAGAUGAAAUUUUGAUAGGAAAUUCUUUAUACUAUUUACAGCAAGAUCUAUAUGUUUGAUCGAAAAUUUUCAUGCUAUAUCAGCACUUUUUAUAAGAUUUUUAUUUUCAGCCGUUGAUUUUGAAUUCUUUCAAUCGUUAGGUAAAUGAUAUUGAAAAAUCACAAAAUUUAUUUUCUGAAUACUUCAAAUAUGCUAGAUCAAGUCUAACAGAGCUGACCGUCGAUUCGGAAGCUCCAUUAUCGAAAACGCCUUAGGAGCACGAAGGCCUCCGUGCUCCUAAUAGCACACAAGACCUACUAUAUAUAUAUAUAUAUAUAUAUAUAUAGUUGAGCUAGAAUACUAUCGAUAGCAAACGGGUUCCGUUGCCACCCAUUUGUUUUCGAUGAUGGAGCCUCCAAAUCGACGAUCGGUACUGUUGAACAUGAUCUAUACCACUUGAAGUGUUUAGAAAUCAAAUUUUAUACAUUUUCGAUAUUGUUCUCUUAUCCAUCGAGUGGACACAAAAAUGAACUGCUGAAAAUGAAUAUUCCUUAAAAAAUGAUGAUAGGAGUCUUGUAAUCAAGAUUAAGAGUACAGAUCUUGUUUUAAAUAGUUUAAAAUAUUUUCUAAUAAAAAUUCAAUUGAUUUGGAUAUCUUUACGCCGUUAAACUAGAAAACGUCUCAUACCGACCAUUAAAAUUACAAAUUUUGAAACCCUUUGAUCAUUAGGCAAAUGAUGUCGAAAAGAUUUGAAAUUUAAUUUCUAAACACUUCAAGUGGUAUAGAUCAUAUUCAACAGUGCCGAUCGUCGAUUUGGAGGCUCAAUCAUCGAAAACAAAUAGGUGGCAAUGGAGCCCGUUUGCUAUCGAUAGUAUUCUAGCUCAACUCUCUCUCUAUAUAUAUAUAGUAGGAGUUGAGCUGGAAUACUAUGAAUAGCAAACAGGCUCUGUUGCCACAUAUUUGUUUUCGAUGAUGGAGCCUCCAAAUCGACGAUCGGUAUCGUUGAAAAUGAUCUAUACUAUUUGACAAUGAUCUAUACCGUUGAAAACUCUCUCUCUCUCUCUCUCUCUCUCUCUCUAUAUAUAUAUAUAUAUAUAUAUAUAUAUAUAUAUAGUAGGAGUUGAGCUAGAAUGCUAUCAGAAGCAAACAGAGCACUCCGUGCCACCAAGUUGUUUUCGACGAUGGAACCUCAAAAUCGACGAUCGGCUCCGUUAAACUUGAUCUAGAAUAUUUGAAGUAUCUAGAAAAUAAAUUUCGCGAUUUUUCGAUAUCAUUUACCUAGCGAUCGAUCAAAAGGGCUCAAAAUCAACGGCUGAAAAUAAAAAUCUCACAAAAAAUAAGGAUAUAACAUUAAAAUUUUAGAUCAAAGAUAUUAAUCUUACUGUAAAUAGUAUAAAAAAUUUUCUAUCAAAAUUGCAUCUGAUUUGAAUACUUCUACACCGUUAAACUUGCAAACGGCUACACCACAACCAUUAAAAAUUAUUGAUUUCAAACAUCUUCGAUCACUAGGCAAAUAAUAUCGAAAAAUCACAAAAUUUAUUUUCUAGAUACUUCAAAUACGCUAGAUCAACUCUAACGGAGCCGAUCGUCGAUUGCAAAAAUCCGAACAUCGAAAAAAACUUGGAAGCACGGUAGGUGCUUCCGAGCUUUUAGCCAUUAGAUAGAGACAUACCAGGCCCACAUGAUGCUAGUAGGUGCUGAUAGGUGGUGGUAGGUGGAAAAGCAUGUAUGAUCCAAAGGCUAUGAGUCAAUCAAGGAGCAGACCCAUUUUUCGGCGGAAAAAUUAGCGCCCAUUUUUCUCUUUCCGUACGAAAAAUUUUAAAUAUAAGAAUAAAAAUAGAAAUAGAAACAGCAAUGAAUACGUAAGUUCUCUAUAACAGAUUAUUGAUGUGAAAAUUCUAAAAUAUAAAUUUUUCUAUUUAAUUUCAAAAGUAAAUUUUCUAUAACAGAUUACGGGUAUGAAAAUCCUAUAAAAGAUAUUUUUCUAUUUUAUUUUAAAAUAUCUUUUUUAGAUAUUAUCUAUUUAAUUUCAAAAUAUAUUUUCUUUUAAAGAUAACUGAUUUUAUUUUUCUAUUUAAUUUCAAAAGUAAUUUUUGCAUUAGAGAUUAUUGUUAAUUAUUUAUCAUUUAAAGCAUAUCUUUGUUAAUAGCGUGAUUUAUUAUUUUAAAUUUUUUAGAUACAUAUUUGGCAAUCAUAUAAAAUAUGGCCUAAAAUUAAAAAAUAAUUUAAAAAAAUUAUAACUUUUUCUAAUAAUUAUUACGUGCAUUUGCACGUACAUUUUACUAGUAUAUAUAUAUAUAUAUAUAUAUAUAUAUAUAUAUAUAUAUAUAUAUAUAUAUAUUGAGUUGAGCUAGAAUACUCCCAAAAGCACCAAAGAGCUGGUGCUUUUAAGUUUUUAGCCUUUGGAUGGAGAGAUGUAGGAUUGUGAUAAUCAUGGUAGGUAGUGGUAGGUGGAAUAGUGUUUGAUCCAAAGGCUAUUAGUAAUUAAGGAGUAGAUCCAAGAAUUAGAAAUUUAGAAGUACCAUGAAAUUGAUGCUUCUAAAAGUAUUCUACCUCAAUUAUAUAUAUAUAUAUAUAUAUAUAUAUAUAUAUAUAUAUAGAGAGAGAGAGAGAGAGAGAGAGAGAGAGAGUUGAGCUGGAAUACAAUCGGUACCGUUGAAAAUGAUCUAUACCACUUGAAGUAUCUAGAAAUCACAUUUCAUGUUUUUCCGAUAUUGUUCUCUUGUUCAUCAAGUGGGCGUAAAAAUGAACGGCUGAAAAUGAAUAUCCUCUAAAAAGUGAUGAUAGAAAUUUUGUAAUUAAGAUCGAGAGUAUAGAUCUUGUUCUAAAUAGUUUAAAGAAUUUUCUAACCAAAAUUCAAUUGAUUUGGAUAGCUUUACACCGUUAAACAAGAAAAGGCCUUAUAUCGACCAUUAAAAUUACAAAUUUUGAAACCCUUUGAUCAUUAGGUCAAUGACGUCAAAAAGAUUUGAAAUUUGAUUUCUAGAUACUUCAAGUAAUAUAGAUCAUGUUCAACGGUGCCGAUCGUUGAUUUGAAGUCUUCAUCAUGGAAAACAAAUGGGUGACAACGGAGUCCGUUUGCUACCGAUAGCAUUCCAGCUCAACUCUAUAUAU
rnacentral:lncRNA from 1 species